AUCAUGGCUCAGAACGAACGUUGGCGGCGUGGAUUAGGCAUGCAAGUCGAGCGAAUCCCAGCAAUGGGGGAAGCGGCGAAAGGGGCAGUAAGGCAUGGGUAACCUACCCUGGGGACUGGAAUAGCCCUUCGAGAGAAGGGGUAAUACCGGGCGACGUAACGAGGAGGCAUCUCUUUGUUACCAAAUGAGUUUCGCCCUGGGAGGGGCCCAUGUGAUAUUAGCUAGUUGGUGAGGUAAUGGCUCACCAAGGCGAAGAUGUCUAGCGGGUGUGAGAGCACGACCCGCGCCACUGGCACUGAGACACUGGCCAGACACCUACGGGUGGCUGCAGUCGAGGAUCUUCGGCAAUGAGCGCAAGCUCGACCGAGCGACGCCGCGUGUGCGAUGAAGGCCUUCGGGUUGUAAAGCACUGUCGAGGGGGAGAAAAGCGCAAGCUUGAUCUAUCCCUGGAGGAAGCACGGGCUAAGUUCGUGCCAGCAGCCGCGGUAAGACGAACCGUGCGAACGUUGUUCGGAAUCACUGGGCUUAAAGGGCGCGUAGGCGGGCUGCCAAGUCUGUGGUGAAAUCCCUCGGCUUAACCGAGGAACUGCCGUGGAUACUGGAAGUCUCGAGGAAGGUAGGGGCAUGCGGAACUACGGGUGGAGCGGUGAAAUGCGUUGAUAUCCGUAGGAACUCCGGUGGCGAAGGCGGCGUGCUGGACCUUUUCUGACGCUGAGGCGCGAAAGCCAGGGGAGCGAACGGGAUUAGAUACCCCGGUAGUCCUGGCCCUAAACGAUGGGAACUAGGUUGUAGGCUAGACAUGGGCUUACAGCCGAAGCAAAAGUGCUAAGUUCCCCGCCUGGGGAGU
rnacentral:rRNA from 1 species